rnacentral:rRNA from 1 species
UGCCCACUGAUAUAAAUUAAAGGGCUGCAGUAAUUUGACUGUACAAAGGUAGCAUAAUCAUUAGUCAUUUAAUUGAUGACUUGUAUGAAAGAUUGGAUGAAAUAUAAUCUGUUUUUUAUUUAUAUUUAGAACUUAAUUUUUUAAUUAAAAAGUUAAAAUAAUUUAAAAAGACGAGAAGACCCUAUAGAGUUUUAUAAAUAAAUUAAUUAAAAUUAUUAAUAAAAUAAAUAAAUUGAAAUUAAAUUAUUUAUUUUGUUGGGGUGAUAAAAAAAUAUGAAAAACUUUUUUAAAAUGAAUACAUAUAUAAGUGAAUAUUUGAUCCAUUAUUAUUGAUUAAAAGAAAAAAUUACCUUAGGGAUAACAGCGUAAUUUUUUUUUUUAGUUCAUAUAAAAAAAAGAGUUUGCGACCUCGAUGUUGGAUUAAGAUAAAAUUUAAAUGCAGAAGUUUAAAGUUUUUGA